rnacentral:rRNA from 1 species
CUUUGAAGAGAGAGUUAAAAAGGGCGUGAAACCGCUUAGAAUAAAACGGACGGAGCCGUCUGUAGCCCGUCGGAAUCAGUCGGAUCGACGCGUGAAAGCGAGUACGACAUUGAAAAACGGAACGAAAGUCCGGUCGUCUCGUAGUAAAAAAGUAGCGCUCGUUCGAUGCAUUUCCGAAGGGUAAGCACCGCGACCGAUGUCGAAGGCUAGCGAAGCCGUCGGAUUGAGGUCGAGCUCGUUUACUCGAGUCUCGUUACCAGUCCUUCGGUACGAAUAGAAUUCGUUAGACCSUAGCAUCGAGAAUAAAAACGAACGAACGUCGGUGAACUAUAUACGCUCACCCGUUAGGACGGACGUGCGGCCGUUCGAUCGUCGCCUGCUCGCAGGUUACGGUUUGAAUCCGGUUCGUAUCCGAAGUCGUCGGUGACGUUUCGGCGUUCGGGAGUCYGCGGUGUCCGAGUCGGUCACCCGUCCGACCCGUCUUGAAACACGGACCAAGGAGUCUAACGUAAGCGCGAGCUAAUGGGCGGAAAACCCAUAAGCGAAAUAAAAGUAAAGGUCGUUUCGGACGGCCGAGGUACGAUCCCGAAGAACGAAAGUAUCUACGGGCGCAGUACCGUCCCGUCCCGACCGCUUGUCGGUAGGGCGGAGAUAGAGUGCAUACGUUGGGACCCGAAAGAUGGUGAACUAUGCCUGAGCAGAGCGAAGCCAGAGGAAACUCUGGUGGAGGUUCGUAGCGGUUCUGACGUGCAAAUCGAUCGUC